UACGAAGGACACGAGCGUUAUCCGGAUUUAUUGGGUUUAAAGGGUGCGUAGGCGGAUUAAUAAGCCAGUGGUGAAAGCCCAUCGCUUAACGAUGGAACUGCCAUUGAUACUGUUAGUCUUGAGUAUGGUUGAGGUGGGCGGAAUGUGUCAUGUAGCGGUGAAAUGCUUAGAUAUGACACAGAACACCAAUUGCGAAGGCAGCUCGCUAAACCAUAACUGACGCUGAUGCACGAAAGCGUGGGGAGCAAACAGG
rnacentral:rRNA from 1 species